rnacentral:rRNA from 1 species
CACGUAGGCGGCCUGGUAAGUCAGAUGUGAAAGCCCGGGGCUUAACCCCGGAACGUGCAUUUGAUACUGCUAGGCUUGAGUAUGGGAGAGGGAAGUGGAAUUCCUGGUGUAGAGGUGAAAUUCGUAGAUAUCAGGAGGAACACCGGUGGCGAAGGCGACUUCCUGGACCAAUACUGACGCUGAGGUGCGAAGGCGUGGGUAGCAAACA